rnacentral:rRNA from 1 species
UACGUAGGGUGCAAGCGUUAAUCGGAAUUACUGGGCGUAAAGCGUGCGCAGGCGGCUUUGCAAGACAGAUGUGAAAUCCCCGGGCUUAACCUGGGAACUGCAUUUGUGACUGCAUGGCUGGAGUGCGGCAGAGGGGGAUGGAAUUCCGCGUGUAGCAGUGAAAUGCGUAGAUAUGCGGAGGAACACCGAUGGCGAAGGCAGCCCCCUGGGUCAAUACUGACGCUCAUGCACGAAAACGUGGGGAGCAAACAGG